UUCAAUUUGAAAGACGAUUGGUGUUAGACGUGUCAAAAAAAUAUUUUAUACGAAGAGAAAAAAAAAAAAAAUUCGAAGAUUUAAUUGAAUAAUUUUUAAGGAGAUAAAAGGAUUACGAGCAUACCACAUCAACUUAUUUUUAAAUUUCGGACGACGAAAUUAAUUUUUCAACUAAUUUUUAUUUUGCUGUUGUUUGGAUCGCCGAUUCUUCUGUGAAUCGGCGCUGUCCACGAACAAAAGAAGAGGAAAACUCCAAUCUCAAAUUAUCUGUAUUGGUCCCAAAUUUCCUUAGACAUCAAUCCCCUAAUUAUUAUAUAAUCGGUCCCAAAGACCAAUUGAUGCCUUUUAAAGGCGGAUAUUGAGAUUUUUGAUUCUACUGAUAUCAAGACCGGAGUCUUCUAAUCGAUGGUUUGAAUAGAGCUCCAAGAACCCAAAAUUGGCCUAAUACCCUGACUCGUCAAAUCAAUACAUCAAAUGCUAGAGUCUUCCCGUCCAUAGUUUUAUUGGAGCCCAAUGGACACAGCAUUUCCCAAUUACCGAAUUGUGUCAAUUAAAGAAUCCUGGGGAUUCUCAUUCUUUUUCAAUUGGAGAUAAAACAAGAAUAAUGUAUAGUAGGGAUUCUCAUUCUUUUUCAAUUGGAGAUAAAACAAGAAUAAUGUAUAGUAUAUACAUUUAUUUUAUUUUCCCCAUUAUUACAUACAAGACAAUUAUUAAAUUUAUAUGUUACUUUGGCGCACGAGCAAAGCAAAUUUGAAGCCUUAACUUUUAUAACCACCCAGAACUAUAGCAAUUUCAAAUCCCACGUCUGAAGGCCUAAGGACAUCAUGGAUAUUAGCUGGUACCUUAUUUUUACUUUUAUGGCAGCAAAACCAAGCCUAGUUCCAACGGGAAAGAACCGCCCCAGGACUGAGCACGGCCGGCGGCGAGGAGGUAGCGACUCCAAGAGGAAUAAGGGCCCAAGGUGGUGGUUCGUUACAUAAAUUAAAUGGCGCCCAGCGUGGGGCCUGCAACUGGUCGUUUUCAGACUUUCACAGAAUCCGAUAAACCAGUAAUGUGUCACCUAAAUGAUGAUGAUACCAGAUUUAUUUAGAAGGAUAUCUUUGAAAACUUUUUCGGUGACUUUUGGUUUGUGGAAAUGUUGCUGCGAAAUCAUACACCGGAACGGAAUAAAUGAUAACUUUUAUUUAUUUCCUUAUCUUCUCUUAUCCUUUUCUUUUUCUUUCAUUUCCUUGGGAUUUUAAAUACGGAUUGAAUUAGCUGAUUUUUAUUGGUUUCUUACCUAGGCGAAAACUCGAGGAACUUUGUUGUUGAACAUGGUGUUUCAUUAAGGAUUUGUGUUUUUUUUAACUAUUUUGCUAAAAAAACAUAUCUUGUGAAGAUGAUCUCAG